UACGGGGGGGGGUAAGCGUUGUUCGGAAUUACUGGGCGUAAAGGGCUCGUAGGCGGCCAACUAAGUCAUACGUGAAAUCCCUCAGCUUAACUGGGGAACUGCGUGUGAUACUGGAUGGCUUGGAUUUGGGAGAGGGAUGCGGAAUUCCAGGUGUAGCGGUGAAAUUCGUAGAUAUUCGGAAGAACACCAGUGGCGAAGGCGACAUACUGGUCCGUUACUGACGCUGAGGCUCGAAAGCGUGGGGAGCAAACAGG
rnacentral:rRNA from 1 species